AGGACGAACGCUGGCGGCGUGCCUAACACAUGCAAGUGGAGCGACGAACCAGGCUUCGGCCUGGGGCAAAGCCGCGAACGGGUGAGUAACACGUGGGUAACCUGCCCCGAUGAUUGGGACAACCCGAGGAAACUCGGGCUAAUACCGAAUGUGCCCUCCGACCAUAAGGUCGCUGGGGAAAGGAAGCUUCGGCCUUCGCAUCGGGAUGGGCCCGCGGCCCAUUAGCUUGUUGGUGAGGUAACGGCUCACCAAGGCUGCGAUGGGUAGCUGGUCUGAGAGGACGAUCAGCCACACUGGGACUGAGACACGGCCCAGACUCCUACGGGAGGCAGCAGUGGGGAAUAUUGCGCAAUGGGCGGAAGCCUGACGCAGCGACGCCGCGUGCGGGAUGAAGGCCUUCGGGUUGUAAACCGCUUUCACCAGGGACGAAGCGAGAGUGACGGUACCUGGGGAAGAAGGCGCCGGCUAACUACGUGCCAGCAGCCGCGGU
rnacentral:rRNA from 1 species